UGCGAACGCUCAUUAAAUCAGUUGCGAUCUACUCGGCGUUCCGCGCCGCCGAUAACCGUAGUAAUUCGUAGGGACUAAUACGUGCGAAGCGCCGAAGCCGCGAGGCGACGGCGUUCUCGCCGGAUGUAGGAACCGACCCGGGGACCGCCGGGGCAACCCGGCGCCCCCGAGACGGGGCGAACCACGGUGAAAUGACGGAUCGUCGGCCCCGCGCCGGCGACUCGCCGAAUGAGUUUCUGACCUAUCAACUCGAGACGGCGGGGUAGAGGCCCGCCGCGGUAACGACGGGUAACGGGGAAUCAGGGUUCGAUUCCGGAGAGGGAGCCCGAGAAACGGCUACCACUUCCAAGGAAGGCAGCAGGCGCGCAACUUACCCUAAUCUCGAUUCGAGGAGGUAGUGACAAGAAAUACCGAUGCGGGACCCUACGGGUGCCGCGUUCGGAAUGAGUACGAUUCGAACCAC
rnacentral:rRNA from 1 species